rnacentral:piRNA from 2 species
UGAAACAGACUCCGACUCGGUCGACGAC